GGAGAGCGGGGACGGCGAGAAGCGCGCGUAGAAGUCCACUUGGCCCGGAACGCCGCGUUCGGGCGCCGGGCCGGAGCCUGAGUCCGAGCCUCCAGUGUGCCCGCAAUGGCUAGGUGAAAUCAACAAAAUCAUGGCAACUUAGAAGUGUGUUCAUACACAACGCAGCUAUAAGUGUGGUCACACGGGUUCGAGCCCUGGUCUGGGAGGAUCCCACAUGCCGCGGAGCAACUAGGCCCGUGAGCCACAACUACUGAGCCUGCGCGUCUGAAGCCUGUGCUCCGCAACAAGAGAGGCCACGAUAGUGAGAGGCCCGCGCACCGCGAUGAAGAGUGGCCCCUGCUCACCGCAACUAGAGAAAGCCCUCGCACAGAAACGAGGACCCAACACAGCCUAAAUUAAAUAAA